GACGAACGCUGGCGGCGUGCCUAAUACAUGCAAGUAGAACGCUGAAGAGAGGAGCUUGCUCUUCUUGGAUGAGUUGCGAACGGGUGAGUAACGCGUAGGUAACCUGCCUUGUAGCGGGGGGUAACUAUUGGAAACGAUAGCUAAUACCGCAUCACAAUGGAUGCCACAUGUCAUUUAUUUGAAAGGGGCAAUUGCUCCACUACAAGAUGGACCUGCGUUGUAUUAGCUAGUAGGUGAGGUAAUGGCUCACCUAGGCGACGAUACAUAGCCGACCUGAGAGGGUGAUCGGCCACACUGGGACUGAGACACGGCCCAGACUCCUACGGGAGGCAGCAGUAGGGAAUCUUCGGCAAUGGGGGCAACCCUGACCGAGCAACGCCGCGAGAGUGAAGAAGGUUUUCGGAUCGUAAAGCUCUGUUGUAAGUCAAGAACGGGUGUGAGAGUGGAAAGUUCGCACUGUGACGGUAGCUUACCAGAAAGGGACGGCUAACUACGUG
rnacentral:rRNA from 1 species